CUCACACUUUCACAAUCCUCUCUCCCAGCUGCUGUUGCACAGCAGUUUCUCCCUUUCUUAAAUCUGCUCUCACCGAGGUGCAAACACCACCACUUACUGGCUCUGCUCUGGCCGGCAGUAGGACCCUUUUGGAGCCAUCUGGAGCUGGCUCUGCUCUGACAUGAGGCGGCUGCUGGGUGCUGCUCACAGAGGCCACCACUACAGCCCCUCUGCUGCCAAAACCUUGCCAGACAAAUGACAGGAACGAGAACACUGGGACAAAGGACUUGCUUAUACAAGAUAUGGGACCACAUUUUCCAGAUAGUAGAAUUCACUAAAACAAACAAAAGACAUUUUUUCAUACUUCCAAGGUUUACUGGUGCAGCAAUAGUAAGGUGCAAUUUCAGCAUAAUCCAAGCAAGUUGGGAGUUCAAAAAUGCUCAGCAAUGUCUUCUGUGAAGUGAUUCUGCAGAUCCACCUUGUUCAUAUUAGCACCAGAUUGAUCCUCGUGGGAAGGGUUGCUGCAACAGGAAUGAAAAAAUUGUUUACUCCUCCUCAUGCAAAUGUUCAGAUAUUUGUUUCUGCUUCUCCUUCAUGCAUCCGUAGGGUUGUGAGAAUUUGGGUGGUCCAGCCCCGUGAGCAUGUAGUGAGAUUAGAGUCACGGUGCUUGUAAAGCAAACAUAGGUGCAUAGGUUCAGAAAUGUUGAUACUGGCAACUGGCAGCAAGGGAACCUUUUAAGGGUGCAGGGCUCUAAGGCCUUUGGCAGGAACCAUACAGUGGUUACUUGAAGUAGCACCAUUUUAUUGUCAAUACUGCUAUCAAAAUAUGAGUGUUGUUUUUAACUUGAUCGCGACUGAAUGUCUCCUGAAUAGUUUGGUACCCUUAGUAUUUCUACAAACACAGCUUCAAGGAUCCCAGCCUAAGGUACAUUCUUUUGUCUCCCUCUGUAAAUGUUUAAUUACUGGCUCACAGAAUAAUGUUCAGUUGACACAAGCAUUCGCACAUCCUGGAAUAGUUCUUGAUGUCUACAUUUCCAUUACGUUAUGGUCACACAGUAUUUUAUGAAUGUUGUAUUAGAAGAGAUUUAAACAUUUUGUAUUAAAGCAAAAUUCCUGUGAAGCUAUAUGGUGUCCUCAUAUUGGUAUGCAAAAUGCCACAAAAUUAUCAUAUUUUGGUGUCUGAUAAUUAAAAUGUAACUUAUUAAUACUAUAAAUAUAUUCACACAUGUAGGAAAAAUAUAAAAAAUAAAACCUCAAAAUUCAUUUUUCUGCUUUAGAGUACUUGGAUGUACAGAAAAGAUACUCCUGCAUUGUAAAUUAUACCAAUUCAUGAAAAUAUUUGUAUUACAUUUCUCUUAAAUAUGUAACUCUGAGCUCUGCUGAAGUAUAUCAGAAUUCAUCGUGAUACGCCAAAGAAAGCAUUCAUAUUUGGAUCGUACCAAUAUAGCAAAUCUAACCCAAUGUUCAAAACCCAGCAGAAUGCAUAUAAAGUCUUAACACUCCUGCCUGACAGUUAUUUGUAAAUAGUUUGUUUGUAUGUGUGAUAGCUUGUUCCAUUUUUAACAUUUUUAGCAGAAAACAACCCAACACUCCAAAGGUGAAAAGAAAUGUGGAAGUACUUAUCAGUUCAUGAAUGUGUGGGAAAGAUGACAUUGCCUCUGGCUCUCUUAUUGUUAAAAAUAGUGUCUGAACAGGAAACACUCACAAAAGCAUCAGUGUCCCCACCUUUGCAGCCUACUGAAGUGUCCUCAACUCUUUUAUGCACUCAUCUAUAAAAUUGAAAAACUUCUUCCUCUACGUAAUUGUUAAGAAAGAAAAACAAGCUUUGUUUUCAAACUCCAUCCCCUUUUUUGAUGGAUUAUGUCACCAAAUUUGUUGUGAAUUCAAGUAAGACAUCAGAGAUGCAGUGAGCUAGAAAACGGAUGUUGGCCAUCAGACUUUGCUAGACAGAAAGGAAAAACAUUUUUUUUAAAAAAAGCAUGCAAAACAAAACAAAACAACACAAUUAGGAAAAAAAAAGAUUCGACUAGAACCAAGAAAUACGAACCAAAAUGUUCUUGAAGUGAACUGGUGCCACUGCUUGACAGGACUAACUGACUGAAUUUAAGAAGAGAUUGGACUGUGCGCUUAGUCACAUGGUCUGAACUUUUGGGUAGACCUGUGCGGUGUCAAGAGUUGGACUUGAUGAUCCUUAAGGGUCCCUUCCAACUCAGGAUAUUCUAUGAUUCUAUGAUUCUAUGAAGUGAAUGCUGCAAAUGUUAGCUGAAUGAUUUUUAACUACUAAGGAAGGUGCUUUUUGGUGUGUGUGGGGAUGGACGGAGGGACAACGAUGACACCGUCGCCUAGCUCUCCCGCUACUCUGUAAGCUAUUACCUUCAAGAAUAAGGAAAAUAAAACUGAACGAU